rnacentral:rRNA from 1 species
AUUGAACGCUGGCGGCAUGCCUCAGACAUGCAAGUCGAACGCGAAAGUCCCCUUCGGGGGACAAGUAGAGUGGCGCACGGGUGAGUAACACGUAGGUAAUCUACCUUUGGAUGGGGAAUAACAACCGGAAACGGUUGCUAAUACCACAUAAUGCAGCGGCACCUAAUGGUGACAGUUGUUAAAGCGGGGGAUCGAAAGACCUCGCGUCUAAAGAGGAGCCUGCGGCGGAUUAGCUAGNGGUAAGGUAAUGGCUUACCAAGGCUACGAUCCGUAACCGGCCUGAGAGGGCGGUCGGUCACACUGACACUGACAUACGGGUCAGACUCCUACGGGAGGCAGCAGUCGGGAAUUUUGGGCAAUGGGCGAAAGCCUGACCCAGCAACGCCGCGUGAAGGAUGAAAUCCCUCGGGAUGUAAACUUCGCAAGAACGGGAAGAAUAAGUAGGGGACAAUACCCCCUAUGAUGACGGUACCGUUUGUAAGCUCCGGCUAACUCCGUGCCAGCAGCCGCCGU